CCUACGGGGGGCAGCAGUAGGGAAUCUUUCACAAUGGGCGAAAGCCUGAUGGAGCAACGCCGCGUGCAGGAUGAAGGCCUUCGGGUUGUAAACUGCUUUUAUAAGCGAGAAAUAUGAUGGUAACUUAUGAAUAAGGAUCGGCUAACUACGUGCCAGCAGCCGCGGUCAUACGUAGGAUCCGAGCAUUAUCCGGAGUGACUGGGUGUAAAGAGUUGCGUAGGUGGCAUAAUAAGUAGCUAGUGAAAUCUGGUGGCUCAACCAUUCAGACUAUUAGCUAAACUGUUAAGCUCGAGACCGUUAGGGGUAACUGGAAUGUCUGGUGUAGGAGUGAAAUCCGUAGAUAUUAGAAGGAACACCAGUAGCGUAGGCAGGUUGCUGGGACGGUUCUGACACUAAGGCACGAAAGCGUAGGGAGCAAACGGGAUUAGAUACCCUUGUAGUC
rnacentral:rRNA from 1 species